GCUGCUUUCAAGAAAAAUUUGGAUGGUUGCGCCAUCCCGGGUUAUAAGUGUUAGAAUACGGAUCAUUACCCGGUCGGAACUGUGCUUGGGCAGCAUUUACUUGUUCUUGCACAAAUUCAGGGAAUUGUGCUGCCGAAGGGCACUCAAAAAUAGUAUGAGACGGACUAGAACAGAGAGCACACACUUGUGCUUGGGAAAAGUUUGGGAGCUGUUCUCUAGACAUUAGCUGGUCCAACUUGCGGGAUAGUGCAUCUACUUUGUCAGAUAGACCUAUGGACUGGCUAACUUCAUAUAUGGUUCCUUUUCUUUGAGAACUCGGGGGUGCUUGACGAGCGGAGGAGGCAUGGUGGAGAGAAUUUUUAUU
rnacentral:lncRNA from 1 species